rnacentral:ncRNA from 1 species
AGACUGCUGACAAAGUGCCAGCUACAGAGAGAACAGGCAGAUCGUAAAGACGCCGUAUUCACUUUGCAAAAAUAAGCUCCCCUGGAGGCUCGUGCCGCACGAUCCCUGGCGCGGACGCUUU